AGGAGGGGGGACGGGAAUGAGUGAGUGAAGCAGCGGAGAGAGGGAGGGAGGGAGCGAGGCUGACGAGGAGGAGCGAGCGAGGUGGCUGAGCGGGUAGGUGGCUGAGCGAGCGAGCGAGCCAGGGAGCGGGAGAGAGAGAAGAGGAGGGGGAUAAUUCAGGGAAUUUGCCUCUGUGGCCCCUUCAGCCUCCACUCCCCGCCUUUUUCUUUCCUUUUCCCCUCCCCUCCCCUGCCUCUAGUCGUGCGCCUGCUUCUGCAGCUGGUGUCGAGCGGCUGCCUGAGCUGAGGAGAGCUGCUGCUGCUGUUGGUGGCUGUGGCGGUGCUGCUGCUGCUUUCGCGCUCUCAUUCUCUCCCCGUUUACGAGUCUUGUCUGUGGCGCGCUGCCGGGCUAGACUCUCUCUUCAGUCAGGAGUUGCUCUCGCUUGAGCCGCUUCUCUCGCUCCCUCCCUCCUGCGCGCGCACAGCCACUCUUCUCACACGCGCGCGCGCGCGCUCCCACAAAAACUCAGGAGCUCGUGGCUUUCGGUUGUGUGGGAAGCCGGCUCGCGCUCCUUUCCCCUUCCCUCACCGACACCCCCAAAACCCAAACGGGUUUUUUUUAAAAAGAGAGAGGGGGGGAGGAGGACAAGAGGGGGCGUGAGGAAAAGGAGGGGGGCCGAAAGAGAGAGAUGACAGUUAAAUUAUAUAUAUAUAUCUAUAUAUAUUAAGGCAGGCCUUAGACGGAAGGAUGGGUGUUUGAGCCAAUAGGAGCUCAGGAGCGCUGAGCUCGGAUUGGAGGGUUGAACCAAUCACAAGAGACUUGUGGAACGGGGGCCCCACGCUGCCCUUAACACCCCUUAACGCAUAGAGAGUAAUAGGUGUCUUUCUUCACUACCGCAGGCGGAAAAGCGGCCCUGGGGCAAAAGCUGCUGGGAAAGGAGCACCACACGUGGUAGAGCAAACUAAAUCCUUGCAUCCACGUCUCUCAGAAGGAGAGGGUAGGUGAGCAAUUGGAGACAGCCCUAGCCAUUCCUUGCUACCACCACUUGCCCACUUUUGCAGUUAAUAUCCUCGAUAUAUUUAGAAGCCACCUUUUAGAAGCCACCUAAACUUGUAGCCAUCACAAUGUUUGGUACCAAUGAAUUCCUUCAAUCAAUUAUGUAUUACAUGGAGUUGCACUAGCACUCUUUGUUUGCCCUGAAUAAACAGCUAGUUAAUUUCAUUGGAUAACUCUGAGUUCUCUGAGUUCUAGUGCUUUGAGAGAGAAUAAUUACCUUUUUCUGUUCACUACCUCCACAACAUUCACAACUGAAUAACUUUCUGUUAUUUUCUUGCUUAUUUGUUCCUUUUUCAAGCAAAAAAGCCUUGCUUUGCAGGAAAAAUGCUUCUUCACUCAUCAUUUUUACUGUCUUCUCCCGAUCGACAUAUCUUUUUCUUUUCUUUUUUGAGACAGAGCAAAUGUUUGCACCAGAUGUAGGUGUAGCAUAGAUUUAUAUAAUGUCAUUAUAAUAUUUGAUGAAUUAUACAUAGUUUCUUUCCUAGAAAUUCCUGCCACAGAAUUUGCAUAUUUACUGUUGGAGCACACCAACCUGCCAUUUUCACUGAGCUUCUCACCGUUAUCCCAUGGUCUCUUUUCUAGUAAGUUAAAACCAUUUUAGAGCCCAACAGUAUAUAUCAAAAUCAGAAUAAAUUAUUUUUUUAGCCAAAAGCCUUACAAAAUCACAGAUGAAGCUAUGCAAAUUAAAAUAGAACUGGAAAAAGCUAUGAAUCAAUUGUCUAUCAUACUGGUGAAAACAGAAUAAAAUCACAUAGAAAUCAAUACAGUGGUACCUCUGGUUACGAACGCUUCAGGUUACAAGCUCCGCUAACCCAGAAGUAGCUGCUCCUGGUUGCAAACUUUGCCCCAGGAUGCGAACGGAAAUCGCAUGCCAGAGGCACGCGCGCAGUGGGAAACCCCAUUAGCAAAAGCAUGCCUCAGGAUAAGAAUGGUUUCAGCUUAAGAAUGCACC